rnacentral:rRNA from 1 species
GACGAACCGUGCGAACGUUGUUCGGAAUCACUGGGCUUAAAGGGCGCGUAGGCGGCUCGCGAGGUCGGGGGUGAAAUCCCACGGCUUAACCGUGGAAGUGCCUUCGAUACCGGCGGGCUCGAGGAGGGUAGGGGUGCGCGGAACUUCUGGUGGAGCGGUGAAAUGCGUUGAUAUCAGAAGGAACACCGGUGGCGAAGGCGGGCAUCGUCGGACCA